rnacentral:SRP_RNA from 1 species
GCCAGGCACGGUGGCGCAUGCCUGUAGUCCCAGCUAUUCGGGAGGCUGAGACUGGAGAAUCUCUUGAGUCCAGGAGUUCUGGGCUGUAGUGCGCUAUGCCGAUUGGGUGUCCGCACUAAGUUAGGCAUCAAUAUGGUGACCUCCCGGGAGCGGGGGACCACCAGGUUGCCUAAGGAGGGGUGAACCAGCCCAGGUCGGAAACGGAGCAGGUCAGAACUCCCUGGCUGAUCAGUAGUAGGAUCAUGCCUGUGAAUAGCCACUACACUCCAGCCUGGACAACCUAGCAAGACCCACUCUCU